CAGUAGCCGCGGGAAUACGGAGGGUCCGAGCGUUGUCCGGAAUUAUUGGGCGUAAAGGGCUCGUAGGCGGUUUGUCGCGUCGGGAGUGAAAACCAGCAGCUUAACUGCUGGCCUGCUUUCGAUGCGGGCAGACUUGAGGCAUUCAGGGGAGAACGGAAUUCCUGGUGUAGCGGUGAAAUGCGCAGAUAUCAGGAGGAACACCGGUGGCGAAGGCGGUUCUCUGGGAAUGUUCUGACGCUGAGGAGCGAAAGUGUGGGGAGCGAACAGGAUUAGAGACCCCGGUAGUCCCUGUCUCUUAUAC
rnacentral:rRNA from 1 species